rnacentral:rRNA from 1 species
UACGUAGGGGGCAAGCGUUGUCCGGAUUUACUGGGCGUAAAGGGCGCGUAGGUGGCCCGGUCAGCGUGCGGUGAAAGCUCGGGGCUCAACCCCGAGUCGGCCGUGCGAACUGCUGGGCUCGAGCACUGUAGAGGCAGGCGGAAUUCCGGGUGUAGCGGUGGAAUGCGUAGAGAUCCGGAAGAACACCGGUGGCGAAGGCGGCCUGCUGGGCAGUGGCUGACACUGAGGCGCGACAGCGUGGGGAGCAAACAGG